GCAGAGCAGACUGAGGAUGGGAGGGUCUUGUUUGUUGGCUUAAGGAGAAAGCAGUGGCCAAUCAAAGGAGAGAAAGAGCGUCUCUCCUCACCAGACCAACCAACAUUCCUGACAGAUGGGGCCUGAACCUCCAGCAAUACAAACAGACAUUCAUGCAGCUUUAUGUAUCAGAAAGGAACACUGGGAAGGUGCUCCUGUGCCUGCGGAGGAAGAGAGAGAGGCUGCGGAGUUUUCUGUGUCUGUGGACAUCGGCUGCCAUUGUCAUUCUGGGUCGCCAUCCCAGCCAGGACAACCUUUCAUCGAUUCGUUUCGUACGCAUCAGACACACACAAAUAUAGAGCUCUAUAUGAACUAUUUUUAUUUUGCUGGCCAGCUUCUUUUAAUUUUAUUUUAUUCUCACCAAAGACCCUGAAAGGAUUCCUUAUGAUCUAAAUGUUUUUUUCUUUCUUUGUUGGUUUUCCAGGAAAACUGUAUGAUGAAGUGUUGAGACGAAGUUGGAUGCGUUUCAGUCCAGAAACUUGUAAUAAACAUAACUGGUUGAUAGUAAACUGC